UACGUAGGGUGCAAGCGUUGUCCGGAAUUAUUGGGCGUAAAGAGCUCGUAGGCGGUCUGUCGCGUCGGCUGUGAAAUCCCGGGGCUCAACCCCGGGCCUGCAGUCGAUACGGGCAGACUAGAGUGCGGUAGGGGAGACUGGAAUUCCUGGUGUAGCGGUGGAAUGCGCAGAUAUCAGGAGGAACACCGAUGGCGAAGGCAGAUCUCUGGGCCGUAACUGACGCUGAGGAGCGAAAGCGUGGGGAGCGAACAGG
rnacentral:rRNA from 1 species